UAGUAAUUUUUAAAUAAGUAUGCCUUUAUUUCUACCUUUUUCUAUGAUAUUUACCAACAGGCAAGGGUGAACCCACCUUGAGUGUUUCGUGUUCUGACAAAAUAGCGAAAUGGAAUGUUUUAGGCAUUCAAGGAGCACUUAUCUAUUCAUUAAUAUCAAAACCUAUAUAUCUAUCCAGCUUCACUUUUGGCGUUGAUGAAAGUUUUUGCAAUAUAAAAGCUACACAAAGGGCUUUUUGGAAGCGUUUCGAACCUUAUCAACUCAAUAUUUCAACAAAUUUUUCUAUAUGUAAACCUAAAAUUCAAUGCGCGAAUGCGAAUUUUAUAUUUAAAGAGGAAUCAGAUCUUAAACCAUGUCCCUCCUCUAUUGUUUGGUCAAGUCUAUCACAUCAAGUUGCACUUGGUCGUUCAGGAACCAAAUUGGGCGUGACAAAAAAACAAACCAAAACUAGCAACUGUCGUUUGAAAAUAACGAAGAUUGAAUUAUUCAAAAAAUAUGCAGAGAUUUCUAGAAAAUACGGAAUUGAUUCCGACAUUAUUUCACCUUCUUGGCGAUAUUGUGAUGCAAAAUCGAAAUCUGUUGAAUACAAUACUGUUUGGAAUAUUUUGAAAAAGAAUUAUUUCAAAGAAUGGACGACAAAGCCAGAAAGUCUUGAAUUGUUCUGUUUGUCUGAUAUUUAGAUUUAGUUUAGAACGAUUAAACCAUGAUUCCAAUAAAUAAACACUAAUCCUACUAUUCCACCAAUCAUUAA